UAUUGGUGAUGAGGACAUUGAGAAAGUAGUAGCUUAAAGCACUUCCAUGCCUCAUGUAUUGGCUCUCCUUCUAUCUAAGAAAAAGUGCAAAUUUUGUUCCUUAAAUC